UACGGGGGGAGCAAACGUUGUUCGGAAUCACUGGGCGUAAAGGGCGCGUAGGCGGCCUCGUAAGUGGUGUGUGAAAUCUCCUGGCUCAACCAGGGAAUUGCGCUCCAAACUGCGGGGCUCGAGGGCAGUAGAGGAAGCUGGAAUUCCAGGUGUAGCGGUGAAAUGCGUAGAUAUCUGGAGGAACACCGUUGGCGAAGGCGAGCUUCUGGGCUGUUCCUGACGCUGAGGCGCGAAAGCUGGGGGAGCAAACAGGAUUAGAUACCCUGGUAGUCCCAGCUGUAAACGGUGAACACUAGGUGUGGGAGGUGUCGACCCUUCCCGUGCCGCAGCUAACGCAUUAAGUGUUCCGCCUGGGGAGUACGGUCGCAAGGCUGAA
rnacentral:rRNA from 1 species